CGAACGCUGGCGGCGCGUCUUAAGCAUGCAAGUCGAACGGCAAGGCAGGUGCUUGCACCUGCCCUAGAGUGGCGGACUGGUGAGUAACACGUGGGUGACAUGCCUUUAGUGGGGAUAGCUACUAGAAAUAGUAGAUAAUACCGAAUGUGAUCAAUAUUUAUAGAUGAUGGUUAGAGGAAAGGAGCUAAGGCUUCGCUAAAAGAUUGGCCCGCGGCCCAUUAGCUAGUUGGUAGGGUAAAGGCUUACCAGGCGAUGAUGGGUAUCCGGCCUGAGAGGGUGAUCGGACACAUUGGGACUGAGAUACGGCCCAGACUCCUACGGGAGGCAGCAGCUAAGAAUAUUCCACAAUGGACGAAAGUCUGAUGGAGCGACGCCGCGUGGAUGAUGAAAAGGCCGAAAGGUUGUAAAAUCCUUUUACACUGGAGGAAUAAGCAGAGUAGGGAAUGACUCUGUGAUGACUGUACAGUUUGAAUAAGCAACGGCUAAUUACGUGCCAGCCGCCGC
rnacentral:rRNA from 1 species